ACGACCUUGUAUGAUUCGGCAUUGCGUUGAAAUUUGAAAUCAUCUCUCCCAAAUCUUCAUUAUUGCCGUUGAAAUGUGAAAUCAUUUCUCCCAAGUCUUCAUAAUUCGCUCAGAACGAAUCAAGGACAUCUCAUCUAAAAUGAUGCUCAACGAGAAAAUCGGAAAAAUGACUCAGAUUGAGCGCGUCGUUUCCACUCCUUCCGCCAUUCCAUAGGGAGUGUGCUGAGUGUUGGUGGGAGUGGGCCUUUUGACAAUGCCAAGUCCUAAGAUCGGGCGGCCAUGGCGGACACUUUCCUGAAGGCUGCGCCGCAGUCACGGCUUGGGAUCCCAAGGCUGUAUGGUUUGACAUCGUUGAUGAGAUGCUGUCCGGAGGAUUGGUGGUGCAGCUAGCGGAAUUCACUACACUUUUGCUCCAUGUGUUGCUGCACUACGAUUUUGGAAGCUAUAAGGGAAGUUGUUGGGGCCAAAACUAUGAAGAAAAUCCAUCUGGAAGUUCCUUUGCCAUUGUGGUCGUGGGCGAGGGUCCGUAUGUGGAAUCUGGUGGUGACAGUUCGGACCUCAAGAUCCCCCUUCAACAGAGCCAAACUCUCCAGUGUCUCGCUGAUCAAGUCCCCACAUUGGUGAUCUUGAUCUCCGGUAGGCCUCUGGCUAUAGAGCCGCAGCUCUUGAAUAAAGUGCCGUUGCUGCGAAGGAGGCGAGUGGGGAAUGAUAUUAGUGGCUCAGAUUACUAAGUUCAUUCUUCUCCCACUUAAUCUUAUUCAUGCAAUCUACUAGUUAUUUGUGGUAGAGCCUCAAAAACUUACCUAUGCAGAGGAAAUGGAGUCUAAAGGAGCUUUUAAUUAAAAAAAAUAAUCUUUAAAUUCCAAAUAUUUCUUAUAUUGAUAUAUUAUUAAUCACCAAAAGUGUACCCACAACAGAGAGGUGUGAAUGCAUACGUUCCUUCAUAUUUAA